rnacentral:rRNA from 1 species
AUUGAACGCUGGCGGCAGGCCUAACACAUGCAAGUCGAACGGAGUGGCGAACGGGUGAGUAAUGUAUCGGAACGUGCCCAGUAGCGGGGGAUAACUACGCGAAAGCGUAGCUAAUACCGCAUACUAUUGGAGCGGCCGAUAGCGGAUUGGCUAGGGGGUGGGGUAACGGCUCACCAAGGCGACGGUCCGUAGCUGGUUUGAGAGGACGACCGGCCACACGGGAACUGGGACACGGCCCAGACUCCUACGGGAGGCAGCAUUGGGGAAUUUUGGACAAUGGGGGAAGCCCGGAGCCAGCCAGCCCGCGUGUGCGAUGAAGGCCUUCGGGUUGUAAAGCACUUUUGGCAGGAAAGCGGUACCUGCAGAAUAAGCACCGGCUAACUACGUGCCAGCAGCCGCGGUAAUAC